ensembl:lncRNA
CAGUGUUCGAGUCUCAGCUCAGUUUAAUGUUUUUAAAUGAGCAUUUUUUUUUUCCUGGUUUUUGACCAGCAACAGCUGUCACAGGUCAUCCAUUAACUUAGGCAUACCUUGGUCAGUUAAGAUGUCUUUGAGGAUCCCCACCUGGCUGAACAUGAGCACAAGUUCUCUGGCGAUUGUCCGGGAGGUGGCCUUUCAAAGGGAGACUGCCUCGGGGUACCUGGUGGCAUAGUUGUGGAUCACAAGGAUAUAUUUGUGGCCCCGGGCAGACUUUGGGAGCAGCCCAACCAGAUCCAUGCCCACCCUCUUGAAGCAGACGCCAAUAAUGGGGAGAGGGGUGCGGGCGGUGGUCCUUGGGGCACUGUUUGUUGAUACUGGGGGCACAGCUGGCAGAAGGCCCGAAUGUCGGCAUCCAUGCCGGGGCAGAGGAACUGAUCCCACAGCUUGUCCAAGGUGUUGUGGGCUCCGAGUUGGCCGUCAAGUAAUUGGCCCCGGUGCCAAGGAGGUCAUUGGACACCAGGAAGUAGUUGGCGGGGAGGUGCUGCUCAGGCUGCUGAUCCACGCCGUUGAUCAGAUGCACCUAGCCCCAGUAGUGCCUCAGUUGGGCGUCCUCCUUCUGUUUGCACCCAAAGUUCCCUUCCCAAGAGACCUGGUGAAAUACAGAGUAGACUGGAUUAGAUGUUAUGAGUGUCUCACCUGACGGGGUUCGUCCUGCGGCGUCCCCUUCUUCCUGGGCCAUGCAGUCCAGCUGGAACAGAUCUUUGACGGCUGGCCUCUUUUUCUGGCAGUGGUGGUUGUGGCUCUCGUGGCUGGUGCAGUGGGGAACCCCAGUCAGUCUCGUCCGAGCAGUAGUGACACCAGGAGCUUGAGGAUCAACCUGAUGAGGAGCGGCCACGUUCCACCUGGACUUCCCAAUUCUUUCAAACAUUUUUAGGGGAAAAUCCCUACAUCUGCAUGGUAAGUGGAUUUGUUUUAGCAAGUAGCCUAGUAAACUUGUCUAAAAUGUGUGCAUGUUGAAG